rnacentral:rRNA from 1 species
UACGUAGGGGGCAAGCGUUGUCCGGAUUUAUUGGGCGUAAAGAGCGUGUAGGCGGCUAGGUAGGUCCGUUGUGAAAACUCGAGGCUCAACCUCGAGACGCCGAUGGAAACCAUCUAGCUAGAGUCCGGAAGAGGAGAGUGGAAUUCCUGGUGUAGCGGUGAAAUGCGCAGAUAUCAGGAGGAACACCAAUGGCGAAGGCAGCUCGCUGGGACGGUACUGACGCUGAGGCGCGAAAGCGUGGGGAGCAAACAGG